rnacentral:rRNA from 1 species
AGACUGUUUCUGAGUCGACGAUUCCUACGGGAGGCAGCAGCAGGGAAUUUUGCACAAUGGGCGAAAGCCUGAUGCAGCGACGCCGCGUGCGGGAUGAAUGCCUUCGGGUUGUAAACCGCUUUCAGGAGGGACGAAGCGAAAGUGACGGUACCUCCAGAAGAAGCCCCGGCCAACUACGUGCCAGCAGCCGCGGUAAUACGUAGGGGGCGAACGUUGUCCGGAUUUAUUGGGCGUAAAGAGCUCGUAGGCGGCUCAGCAAGUCGGCCGUGAAAACCCGGGGCUCAACCCCGGGACGCCGGUCGAAACUGCUGUGGCUAGGGUCCGGUAGAGGAGAGUGGAAUUCCCGGUGUAGCGGUGGAAUGCGCAGAUAUCGGGAGGAACACCAGUAGCGAAGGCGGCUCUCUGGGCCGGUACCGACGCUGAGGAGCGAAAGCUAGGGGAGCGAACAGGAUUAGAUACCCUGGUAGUCCUAGCCGUAAACGUUGGGCACUAGGUGUGGCGGACUCAUUGACGUCUGCCGUGCCGCAGCUAACGCAUUAAGUGCCCCGCCUGGGGAGUACGGUCGCAAGGCUAAAACUCAAAGGAAUUGACGG